AACGCACCUUGCGCUCCUUGGUAUUCCGAGGAGCUUGCCUGUUUGAGUGUCAUGGAAUUCUCAACCUUUGAAAGCUUUUAUCGGUUCUCAAAGGCUUGGACUUGGAGGUCGUGUCGGCUCUGCAAAGAAUAUCGACUCCUCUGAAACGUAUCAGUGCGAACCUUUACGGAUCGUCUUCGGUGUGAUAAAUGUCUACGCCGUGGUUUGUGAUGCCACCUUUCAGGUGUUGAGGGAUCGGCUUCUAAUCGUCCCCCCCGGGACAAUUAACUUUGAAAUCUGACCUCAAAUCGGGUGGGACUACCCGCUGAACUUAA
rnacentral:rRNA from 1 species